CGUGAUUCUUGUUGGAAGGUUCAACUGACUGGUUACCCAUUAACCAAAGGAGCUGCAGUAUGCUGUCGCAUUAUCAAAUCUUUCUGUUCUCGUAGUUAUGGUCACUCGCUAGCAUUUAGCAUUAGUCAGUUGGUAAAUGGGUACUUGGUAUGAAUAAUAUUUGAGACUAUAGGUGGUACAUAUACAACAUAACAGGACAGGUUUUGUACACAAGGUGCCGUGGCUGAGUAUUGGAGAAGGACAAGACACAGAGUUGUUCUGGGACUAUUUGACUGUUAACGAAUACAAUUUAGCCACCAUCACCAUGGGAUGUUUGGAAUCAAAAACAGAAGAACAGAUACAGAGCCCGGUGGAUUCAACAACGAAGGACAAAGAAAACCCUUCACAGUCAGAAACUCAGCUCAAACUAUCUCCAGAAAAAGAUAUAAAUCAAGCACGCUCACAUGAAGUGGAUGUUACUCUGGAUGUGGACACAGCUCACCCUAAGCUGAAGAUACAUGGGAACUCACUACAGUGGAUAGAUGAAUCACCACAAAGAAACAUUGACAAUGAGAACUGUUUUAAUGAAGAGCCUUUUGUGUUGGGCAAAAUGGGCAGUCCUUUGAAGACUUACUGGGAGGUGAAUGUGAAGGAGAAGGAAGACUGGGUGCUUGGAGUUGCCAAGGCAAUGGCUAACAGGAAGGGGCCGUUGGCUUUCAGUCCAACUAAUGGCUUCUGGGUAAUCAGACUAUCCAAUGGGCAAAGACUUAAAGCCAUGGAGGAUGAAGAACACGUUCUUGACAAAGGUAUUCCAGGUAAAGUUGGUAUCUAUCUAGAUUAUCAGGAAAGGAAGGUGACUUUCUUUAAUGCAGAAGAAGAUUCACUCAUCUACUCAUUUAUUAAUGGACCAAGUUAUCAGGAUGAUGUCAAGCCACUUUUCUCACCCUGGAACAAUGAUGCAAAACCAAUCACAAUUUUGUCCAUCACAGCAACAUAGAAAAACAUAAAUGAUUGCAUUCCCUGUCUGUCAAUAGCUUGUCAUGGUUUAAAGCUAUGCAAAACAUUUUUUAUUAAGUAAUAUCCAGAAUUGUGGAUCAGGGCAGGUGGGGCAGAAGCCACGACAGGUGAUCCACCACCUAUUUUUGGGGGGGCCUGCUUUGCAUGUUAUUUUAAUACAGGUAACACAUCAGUUUGCAAACAAUGUCUGUUGUGUAGGAAGCUGUUAGUAGCCCAUGUGCUUCACCAUAAUAAUUUGCUCCCUUUUCCCCUCAUAACUUAGCCUACUGUUCUGACUUGGUGGUGCACAUUCAGCCUAUAGCCUGUUUUAGAGAAAUGUUACCAUCAAAUAU